rnacentral:lncRNA from 1 species
AAGUUUUGAGAGGUUUGUAACUUCAACCUUAGGAAGUUUUUCUCUCUCUCUUUGUUUUCUCAUCUCCAUCUUCCAGAGAUGGAGAGCUUUUUCUUCCAAAUUCCAAUUAGUUCUUUUUUGUUGUUUUAUAAUUCUAAUCGGAUCAUUAUUUUCUGUUUAUCAGGUUAAUAAUUUCCGGUUAUCAGAUUUCUCUUAUGUUUUAAUCGGAUAAUAACUUCCGACUUCGAUCGGUGCUUCUGGCUAAGUCCGGAUUCAUCAAUCUCUUUACCCGCUGUUUUAAUUUCAUGUCGGAAAUGCUUGAUGUUCUUAUAAGUUUUGUUUCAGAUUUCAUAUUGCUUGGAGUAAUAUCUUCGUUGUUUAUUCCUCUUGUUCAUACCAGAGCAACGAUGGACACAGAUGAGAUCAAUAGACUGGGUCUAAUCGGCGACAGAGCAUCCGUGAAGUUUCAGAUUGGAAUAAAGCUUUGAAGCUGUUUGGUAACAGCUUGUUUCAUUCCGGCAACUAUGUUUCAGGACUGAAGAUCGGCAGGCUUAGAUGUUACACAAGCAUGGAGGUUGUUGGAGUAAUUGAAGUAAAAGCUGGUGGUGGUGAACAGUCACGGCGGUGAAGUCAGCAAUGUUCAACUGAAGCUGGUGACAACAUAAGAGAUGACUCAUCUCUCUUAUUCCUAGAAACAGACAUGUGGCUGUGAUAUUUACUCGUGUUUGAUACUGAAGCUGUAAUAUAAUUUUUCUAUGUGGUGUUUCUGGGCCUAUAUAUAUUACGUGUAUCCAUUAUGAGUUUCAUAAUGAAAUGAAUGGCCGACAAAAAAAAAAGUAACUUCAACCUUAAACCAUACCUCUUAGAGUAUUUUCAAAUCUCUCAUGAAGUUUUUAACAUUUUUUAAAUAAUAUAAUUUU